UACGGAGGGCGCAAGCGUUGUUCGGAAUUACUGGGCGGAAAGCGCGUGUAGGCGGCUCGACAAGUCGGGUGUGAAAUCCCGGUGCUCAACUCCGGAACUGCAUCCGAUACUGUCGAGCUAGAGUCUCGGAGAGGAUGGCGGAAUUUCCGGUGUAGAGGUGAAAUUCGUAGAUAUCGGAAGGAACACCAGUGGCGAAGGCGGCCGUCUGGACGAUGACUGACGCUGAGACGCGAAAGCGUGGGGAGCAAACAGG
rnacentral:rRNA from 1 species